GGUUGUAUGUCUAAAGGGAAACAGCCCAGAACAAGUGUUAAUAAGGUUCCAAAAUUAUUAUUAAGUGAAAUAAAGGUAGUUUAUGUCCUAAACGGCCAGGAAAUGGGCUUAGAAGCGGCCAUUUUUUAAAGACCUCGUAACAGAGCACUGGUUUUCUCCUAAUUUUUAGGGUAAAUUAUGCACAAGCAGAUAGCGUUUUUACGUUAGUUUACAUGGAUAUAAGCACCGACGAUAUAACGGAUCUAAAUAAUAUACCGAGACCUUGUCCAUAAAUACAUAUAUAAUAUUAUAUGACCAGAGUAUAUUUAUUAAUUUAAUUUAUAUGCUAAAAGUUAUAUGUUUUGUAUCGUUUUAUGGGGUAGCGGAACAUUGGGUAUACCACACCCUUUUAUUUUAUAAAUAAAAAUAGGUACCCCAAGUGAUAAUGUUGACAUGAGUAACGAUAAAGGGUUUUAAGCAAAACUUAAAUAGAUGAUGCUUAAAUAUGCCCUCGCCUAAAGCUUAUGGCAUUUAGUUAAAGUAACGGCCUCUAAGUUUAUAUUUUAGUAAACCUAAGGGAUUAA
rnacentral:rRNA from 1 species